GUAGGGUGCAAGCGUUAAUCGGAAUUACUGGGCGUAAAGCGUGCGCAGGCGGUUUUGUAAGUCUGUCGUGAAAGCCCCGGGCUUAACCUGGGAAUUGCGAUGGAGACUGCAAGGCUUGAAUCUGGCAGAGGGGGGUAGAAUUCCACGUGUAGCAGUGAAAUGCGUAGAGAUGUGGAGGAACACCGAUGGCGAAGGCAGCCCCCUGGGUCAAGAUUGACGCUCAUGCACGAAAGCGUGGGGGGGAGCAAACAGGAUUAGAUACCCUGGUAGCCCACGCCCUAAACGAUGUCUACUAGUUGUCGGGUCUUAAUUGACUUGGUAACGCAGCUAACGCGUGAAGUAGACCGCCUGGGAGUACGGUCGCAAGAUUA
rnacentral:rRNA from 1 species